rnacentral:rRNA from 1 species
CUACGGGUGGCUGCAGUGAGGAAUAUUGCGCAAUGGGGGAAACCCUGACGCAGCGACGCCGCGUGGAUGAUGAAGGCCUUCGGGUCGUAAAAUCCUGUCAGGUGGAAAGAAAUGUAGUAUGCCUAAUACGUGUACUAUUUGACGGUACCACCAAAGGAAGCACCGGCUAACUCCGUGCCAGCAGCCGCGGUAAUACGGAGGGUGCAAGCGUUGUUCGGAAUUACUGGGCGUAAAGCGCGCGUAGGCGGCUAUUUAAGUCAGAUGUGAAAGUCCACGGCUCAACCGUGGAAGUGCAUUUGAAACUGGAUGGCUUGAGUACUGGAGGGGGUGGUGGAAUUCCCGGUGUAGAGGUGAAAUUCGUAGAUAUCGGGAGGAAUACCGGUGGCGAAGGCGACCACCUGGCCAGAUACUGACGCUGAGGUGCGAAAGCGUGGGGAGCAAACAGGAUUAGAUACCCUUGUAGUC